rnacentral:rRNA from 1 species
UACGGGGGGGGUAAGCGUUGUUCGGAAUUACUGGGCGUAAAGGGCUCGUAGGCGGCCAACUAAGUCAUACGUGAAAUCCCUCAGCUUAACUGGGGAACUGCGUGUGAUACUGGAUGGCUUGGAUUUGGGAGAGGGAUGCGGAAUUCCAGGUGUAGCGGUGAAAUGCGCAGAUAUCGGGAGGAACACCGGUGGCGAAGGCGGUUCUCUGGGACUGUACUGACGCUGAGGAGCGAAAGCGUGGGGAGCAAACAGG